UACGUAGGGUGCGAGCGUUAAUCGGAAUUACUGGGCGUAAAGCGUGCGCAGGCGGUUUUGUAAGUCAGAUGUGAAAUCCCCCGGGCUCAACCUGGGAACUGCGUUUGAAACUACAAAGGCUAGAGUGUAGCAGAGGGGGGUAGAAUUCCACGGUGUAGCAGUGAAAUGCGUAGAGAUGAUGGAGGACACCGGUGGCGAAGGCAAUCCC
rnacentral:rRNA from 1 species